rnacentral:lncRNA from 1 species
CUCCCCGACACGUUUCUUCAAACAUGAAAUUAUAUAUUUACUCAAACAAUUAUUAUUAUUAUUUUCAAAUUCCACAAGGAGACACAGAAAAGCACCAUAUAAAUAUAUAAAUCCCGAUGUUACAAUUUUUCCUUCUCCUAUUAACCAAUCCAACAGGGAAAAGAUUUAUAAUAAAAGAUGAAACAUUUCCCAUAAAGAAUCCUUCUCUAAACAUCACACACAAAGUAAAAAAAAUGAAGAUGAAUACGCAAGAUUAUGAGCAAGAAGCUCUGAAUCCUGUUUCAAUUUGAAACCUUUUUAUCUAUGAGCAGUUACCAGUGUUUCAAUGAAACGCAACCCAUCAAAUCUCGGCGCAAAUUUCUCAGACGAAGUUGACGAACUCGCCGACGAAGAAGAACCUUCACGGCGUCUCUCAACCAUACCGUCCUGUAAACAACACAAUCUCUACAUUAAUAGACAAAAAAUACUUUGAGGCAAAUAAAAUUUACAUCCACACAAUUUGAUACAAAAUCCGAAGUUGUUUUUAAGAAAAUAUCUCGAAUUGGAGUACUGUGAGUGGGAAAAAAAAGAUGAUACCUGAUGAGAAGCGUGGGUUGAAUAUGAGACAGAGACAGCGGUGGCGGAAGCGGCGGCGAUAGAGGCAGCGAGGAGGCUAGAUUUCUUCAUCUUCCAAAAUGUUGUUAAGAGAGAAAGAUGAAGAAGAGUCUAGAAUCUAACAAACGUGUGGCGUACAGAGAGAGAUUUUGGUUCAAGAUUUGAAGAAAUGGAGCGGUUUUGACGGCAUAUAU